rnacentral:misc_RNA from 1 species
GAUGAAGAACGUAGCGAAAUGCGAUACGUAAUGUGAAUUGCAGAAUUCAGUGAAUCAUCGAGUCUUUGAACGCACAUUGCGCCCUCUGGUAUUCCGGAGGGCAUGCCUGUCCGAGCGUCAUUGCUGCCCUCAAGCACGGCUUGUGUGUUGGGCCCCGCCCCCCGAUCCCGGGGGGCGGGCCCGAAAGGCAGCGGCGGCACCGCGUCCGGUCCUCGAGCGUAUGGGGCUUUGUCACCCGCUCUGUAGGCCCGGCCGGCGCCUGCCGAUCAACCAAACUUUUUUCCAGGUUGACCUCGGAUCAGGUAGGGAUACCCGCUGAACUUAAGCAUAUCAAUAAGGGAGGA